rnacentral:rRNA from 1 species
AUUGAACGCUGGCGGAAUGCUUUACACAUGCAAGUCGAACGGCAGCACGGACUUCGGUCUGGUGGCGAGUGGCGAACGGGUGAGUAAUGUAUCGGAACGUGCCCAGUCGUGGGGGAUAACGUAGUGAAAAUUAUGCUAAUACCGCAUACGAUCUAUGGAUGAAAGCGGGGGACCGUAAGGCCUCGCGCGAUUGGAGCGGCGGAUAUCAGAUUAGGUAGUUGGUGGGGUAAAGGCUCACCAAGCCGACGAUCUGUAGCUGGUCUGAGAGGACGACCAGCCACACUGGAACUGAGACACGGUCCAGACUCCCACGGGAGGCAGCAGUGGGGAAUUUUGGACAAUGGGCGCAAGCCUGAUCCAGCCAUUCCGCGUGCAGGAUGAAGGCCCUCGGGUUGUAAACUGCUUUUGUACGGAACGAAAAGGCUCUGGUUAAUACCUGGGGCUCAUGACGGUACCGUAAGAAUAAGCACCGGCUAACUACGUGCCAGCCGCCGCGGUAA